GACGAACGCUGGCGGCGUGCUUAACACAUGCAAGUCGAACGGAAAUGCCCAGCUGUUGGCGGGUGCUCGGUGUGCGAACGGGUGGGUAGCACGUUAGUAACCGGCCCUUGACUUGGAGAUAACUUCAAAUAACGGAUGCGAAUACCGGGUAAGAGCUCCUGCUGCGUAAGAUGGGUUUGAAAGUGUCGACGUUUUGGGAUGGACUCGCGGCUUAUCAGGUUGUGGGUGGGGUAGUGGCUUACCAAGUCUUUGACGGGUAGCCGGCCUGAGAGGGUGACCGGCCAAAUUGGGAUUGAGAUAAGGCACAGACUACUACGGGAGGCAGCAGUGGGGAAUAUUGUAUAAUGGGAGGAAGCCUGAUGCAGUAACGCCGUGUGCGGGAUGACGGCAUGAGGGUUGUAAUCUGCUUUUGCCUGUGACGAAGCGUGAGUGACGGUAAUGGGUAAAGAAGCACCGGCUAACUACGUG
rnacentral:rRNA from 1 species